GUGAGACCAAGGUCUCUCUAAAUUGUUUUGUCUCUCUCCAGUUUCGAACCUAUUGGUAAAUUGGAAAGUCCUUUUUCAAAACAUAAUGGUAAUAUAGAUGAGCUCUUUUUUUAACCCUAUUGGUAUUGAUAUCAUAGUCUUUCUGAAACAUAUUGGUUGUCUACUGUGUAAAUACAGUAUAAAUACUGGAGCUUGAGCUCCGGGUGUCAGAUCACUUCUGAGAAUUCUCCUCGGAGUGGAUCUCGUGUGGUGGAACGGAACCAAUAAAUCUGGACCCUUGCUUCUUCUCACUCACGGCUGGUGUGUUUUUUUCAAUCUCCAACUGGGUUCGGAGAUAUUUCACAAUUUUUCUGUCAUCAGCUAUUGUUUUCCGCAGUGGCUCUGAUGGAUUUUCCCUCUUUUCUCAGCUUCAAAAUGCCUUGCUUAUCUCCCAUAGACAUCUCUCUGAUCUUUAUGUUGGUAUGCAAUUGUUUAGAAAUUCUUUGUGUGCUACAGCAUUAUGCUUUCCCUUCACUGGAACAAAGGCCCAAAACUAUUCCAAACAUGGAUGACCAAACUGCCAGUUACACUUUUAAGUAAAUAUCUUGAUAACAUAAACAAUUUUUUUUUUACCCAAAGCAACCAAUCAGGAGCCAAGAACCUUAACCAGUGAUCCACCACUCCUCCACUUACAGAUGUAUUUGUAUUUAAAAAAAAUUCCAUUAAUUGGAUUUCAUAACAUGACUUUCACAGCCAUCAUUGAAUUUCUAACCAGCUAUGAUGUUGAGCACACACUAGCCUUUUCAUGUUAAAAUUACGCUACAGUAUCAGUUGGAGAGCCGUUCUGGGGUAAACACAUAAACUAGAGCGAUGCUGAAUAAACAAAGCCUACUAAGACAGCGAAGUAUAAAGCUGUACAAAGAAGAUGAAAGUGUUACCAAAUUAGGUUUCUCUAAUCUGACAAAUCAUUAAUAAAGCCAUUAAUCAUUAAUCAUUAAUAAAGUCAUGAAGACAAAUCAUUAAUAAAGAGAUAUGACAAGGUUUAGGGACGUGUAAUUUAGACCCUGUUCCUACAGAGAAUAUUUGAUCUGCUA
ensembl:lncRNA